rnacentral:misc_RNA from 1 species
GGGACAUUAAAGGACAAGAAGCCACACUUGUUAGGGACGUGAGGGAGCAUAAAAAAGCUGUGACAUGCUUUACAAUUUCUGAAUCAGGGAAUUGCCUGUUGAGUGGUUCUGCUGACAAAUCAAUAAAGAUCUGGCAAAUGUUUGAAAGAAAGCUUGAAUGUACAGAAACUAUACUGACCAAAGAUCCAAUUCAAAAUAUCAACACGCAUGGGGAACUAAUUUUUGCAGUUACCCAGAGCCACAAAAUGAAGGUGUUUGAUGGAUCACGGAAGGCCAGUAAAUAUUUCAAGAAUAAAUCCAUAAGGUGUGGAACAUUGAUAAACGGAAAGCUGUAUAUAGGCUGCACAGACUCAAGCAUACAGGAGUUAGCUAUACCAAACAGCAGGCAGCAAGAGAUCAAAGCACCAUCAAAGAGUUGGAGUAUGAAAAACAAGGCUGUGAACUCAUUAGCUGUAUAUAAGGACUGGUUAUACAGUGCAAGUUCAACAAUUGAAGCUUCACAUAUAAAGGACUGGAAAAAAAACAAGAAACCACAAAUAUCAAUGUCGCCAGAAAAGGGAGGCAAUGUGUUGGCAAUGGAAGUAGUGGAGGACUUCAUAUAUUUAAAUUGCAGUGUGUCAAUGAGCAACAUCCAGAUUUGGCUGAGAGGAACACAGCACAAAGUUGGAAGAUUAUCAGCAGGAAGCAAGAUAACAAGUCUUCUAACUGCAAAUGACAUAAUUAUAUGUGGUACAGAAACAGGAAUGAUUAAGGGUUGGAUCCCCCUGUAGUGGUAUAUUGCAGGUACAGGAUAAGUGUAGCAAAAACAUAGUACAGAAGGAAGAAGCAAUCUGAUUCCAUAUUAUGUAGAGAGAAGUGCAGUGUAAUUAUAUCAUUCUACUUCAAAUAAUUUUACAUGCUAAAUCAAUCUUAGAUGAAUGCUAUGC